rnacentral:rRNA from 1 species
GCAUAUCAAUAAGCGGAGGAAAAGAAACCAACUGGGAUUACCUUAGUAACGGCGAGUGAAGCGGUAAAAGCUCAAAUUUGAAAUCUGGUACUUUCAGUGCCCGAGUUGUAAUUUGUAGAAUUUGUCUUUGAUUAGGUCCUUGUCUAUGUUCCUUGGAACAGGACGUCAUAGAGGGUGAGAAUCCCGUUUGGCGAGGAUACCUUUUCUCUGUAAGACUUUUUCGAAGAGUCGAGUUGUUUGGGAAUGCAGCUCAAAGUGGGUGGUAAAUUCCAUCUAAAGCUAAAUAUUGGCGAGAGACCGAUAGCGAACAAGUACAGUGAUGGAAAGAUGAAAAGAACUUUGAAAAGAGAGUGAAAAAGUACGUGAAAUUGUUGAAAGGGAAGGGCAUUUGAUCAGACAUGGUGUUUUUUGCAUGCACUCGCCUCUCGUGGGCUUGGGCCUCUCAAAAAUUUCACUGGGCCAACAUCAAUUCUGGCAGCAGGAUAAAUCAUUAAGAAUGUAGCUACUUCGGUAGUGUUAUAGCUUUUUGGAAUACUGUUAGCCGGGAUUGAGGACUGCGCUUCGGCAAGGAUGUUGGCAUAAUGGUUAAAUGCCGCCCGUCUUGAAACACGGACC